CAUCGACAGCCAUAUGAUCCCAAAUGAACCCUACCCUUUUAUAUCUUAGAAGCUAAGCAGGGUAAGAUCUGGAUAGUACUUGGAUGAGAUGGAAACCUAAUCCCUGUUAUGA
rnacentral:rRNA from 1 species